GACGAACGCUGGCGGCGUGCCUAAUACAUGCAAGUAGAGCGCACAGUUUAUACCGUAGCUUGCUACACCAUAGACUGUGAGUUGCGAACGGGUGAGUAACGCGUAGGUAACCUGCCUGGUAGCGGGGGAUAACUAUUGGAAACGAUAGCUAAUACCGCAUAAUAUUGAUUAUUGCAUGAUAAUUGAUUGAAAGAUGCUAUUGCAUCACUACCAGAUGGACCUGCGUUGUAUUAGCUAGUAGGUGAGGUAACGGCUCACCUAGGCGACGAUACAUAGCCGACCUGAGAGGGUGAUCGGCCACACUGGGACUGAGACACGGCCCAGACUCCUACGGGAGGCAGCAGUAGGGAAUCUUCGGCAAUGGACGAAAGUCUGACCGAGCAACGCCGCGUGAGUGAAGAAGGCUUUCGGAUCGUAAAGCUCUGUUGUAAGAGAAGAACGGGGGUGAGAGUGGAAAGUUCACACUGUGACGGUAGCUGACCAGAAAGAGACGGCUAACUACGUG
rnacentral:rRNA from 1 species